rnacentral:rRNA from 1 species
AACGAACGCUGGCGGCGUGCCUAACACAUGCAAGUCGUGCGAGAAAGUUUCCUUCGGGGAGCGAGUAAAGCGGCGCACGGGUGAGUAACACGUAGGUAACCUACCUUUCAGUCCGGAAUAACCAGCUGAAAAGCUGGCUAAUGCCGGGUAAGACCACGAUCUCUGCGGGGAUCGCGGCCAAAGGCGGCCUCUUCAUGAAAGCUGAUGCUGAGAGAUGGGCCUGCGACCAUUAGCUAGUUGGUGAGGUAACGGCUCACCAAGGCUUUGAUGGUUAGCUGGUCUGAGA